AUUGAACGCUGGCGGCAGGCCUAACACAUGCAAGUCGAGCGGAAACGAGAAUAGCUUGCUAUUCGGCGUCGAGCGGCGGACGGGUGAGUAAUGCCUGGGAAAUUGCCCUGAUGUGGGGGAUAACCAUUGGAAACGAUGGCUAAUACCGCAUAAUAGCUUCGGCUUAAAGAGGGGGACCUUCGGGCCUCUCGCUUCAGGAUAUGCCCAGGUGGGAUUAGCUAGUUGGUGAGGUAAAGGCUCACCAAGGCGACGAUCCCUAGCUGGUCUGAGAGGAUGAUCAGCCACACUGGAACUGAGACACGGUCCAGACUCCUACGGGAGGCAGCAGUGGGGAAUAUUGCACAAUGGGCGCAAGCCUGAUGCAGCCAUGCCGCGUGUAUGAAGAAGGCCUUCGGGUUGUAAAGUACUUUCAGCAGUGAGGAAGGGUGUGUAGUUAAUAGCUGCAUACUUUGACGUUGGCUGCAGAAGAAGCACCGGCUAACUCCGUGCCAGCAGCCGCGGUAAUACGGAGGGUGCGAGCGUUAAUCGGAAUUACUGGGCGUAAAGCGCAUGCAGGUGGUUUGUUAAGUCAGAUGUGAAAGCCCGGGGCUUAACCUCGGAACCGCAUUUGAAACUGGCAGGCUAGAGUACUGUAGAGGGGGGUAGAAUUUCA
rnacentral:rRNA from 1 species